GGGUGCGUAGCUCAGUUGGUAGAGCAGCUGACUCUUAAUCAGCGGGUCCACAGUUCAAUCCUGUGCGCACCCACCA
rnacentral:tRNA from 288 species